UCCAAAUUCCCCAAAUAUAAAUCCUCUCACGCACUCCCUCCGCCGCCGACCGCUAGCUAUCUGGCAGCCUGCACGCUGUUGACCGCCCGCCAUCUCCAGCACGUCAUCAUCGCGGUAGCAAGGUUGCUGCCCUGUCUCCUUCGUCCUCCUGCACCCCCACUACUUAGCCCCCAAACACUUCUAACCCUAUCUUGUGCGCUGGUGUUCGGGGAGAGGCCAAGGCGCGGUGGUGGACAACACCGUCCCUCUCAGAUCCGGGGCAGAGAGAGAGGUGGUUCACCUGCGAGAGAGAGCACUCGCACCCUCACUCGUCACCCAGGAGCCGCCACCACCGCCGCCACGCCAUGGGCUUCCUCAGAUCUGUGCCACCCUGUUCGUUUGAAGAAGGAUCUGGCCGUUGAUUGCUGGUGCUUCCCCUCGCCCGACGAUCUGCCAUGACUUGGGAUAGUACUUCUGUCCAGCAAGCAGCGCUUUGGCUGGGAGCUCAAGCUCAAGCAGAACGUCAAAAACAUGGGCUCUAUCUGCUAAUGGGGUAGCCGGCAAUGCAGUCUAAGGGCUGGCUACUGCUCAUCUGAUUUCUGGAUAUGAGAGGAUGAGAACUUGAGAAGAACAAGCUUGAUGCUAUGAUUGCAAAAAAAUCUGUACUACAGGUGAGAGUUAAGACACACCAUACACAGGCUCUGUAAGAUGGCGGAAAUAUUCCUCUUCGUCAACGACUUCUACGAGGACGAUAUUGACCUAGAGGCUGGAGCUUUGCUACUCCUUCCGGCCAACAACAAGCAUGUGAUUCACUGAACAAAAAAAGGACUGCACUCACAUAUGAAAUGCUUGCAAGUUAUAGAAAAAUGAAGCAAAGGACCAACGGUGUAGGAGAAAUCUUCUCAGUUUCUGAAUCCUGAGCAGUAGCAAGUCAGGUGCUUAAUGGUGAUCCUACCACGCAUAUGUCAUAAGCAGGAAUGACAUGCAAGAGAACCAGGAAGGAACCAUGAAGAUGGCAGUUUGCAUCAGCUAGACAUUUUGUGUAAUGGAGCAAAUACAAUGUGUCUUUUAGUUAUCGUUUUGUAAACCUAUAUGGUGUCUUGUCAACUGGGUAUUUUGUGUAAAGGAGCAAACAAUGAAUCGUCAGACAUGCAUCUAUCAUUUUGUAAACCAAUCAGGUGUCUUGGUGAUUGAAACAUAAAUGUUUCCUCCUUUCAAUUAGUUACUU
rnacentral:rRNA from 1 species